rnacentral:lncRNA from 10 species
CUCAUAUAUAGCCAGGAUUCCGCAGGGCCAGAGUAGGGGAGUUGGUGACCACAGGCUCUGACUUAUUCAUCAUGUCCUGUUUGCUCACCAUCAAGGCCAGGGGCCUGCUCAUUGAGAGCUGCUGUAUUAAUCCAAACAUCCUUGCUGGGUCAGCUUCUAGUGGCUAUGAGACUAUCCAUCUUCCAAUGAGGUGCCAGGGAAGAAUCAGUCUCAUUGAUAAUGAGACACGAUCAGAAAUUUUCAUUUCACAAAUAAUAUUAUCCUUAUUGGCCGGAGGUGAAUUCCAAGUAAAUAUUCAUUGAUUCUUCAUCGAACAACUCUUGAGUGUACACUUACUAUGCGUAACGCCAGGGGCCAUAGAGAAAUCAUAAAUGAAUCAGACAGGGAUUCUGCCUUCCUGGAGCUUGCAGAAGAAAUAAGACGCACACCAACAAACCAAGUAGAUGUAGAAAGAGCCAAGUGAGCAGAGAGCAACCAAAGAGGUAUAAAAAAAGAAAAAGAGGAGGUGGCUUGGAAUCAAAGAGGCCAAAGCCUGGAGUGUUUGAGGAAUCCAAGCAGCUGCUUGGCUGCAGAUGAGAAUUGAAAGCACCUGCAUACACACAGCCUACCUACUGGGGCUGAGAACUGAGACCACUGAGACCUAAUUAUUUGUUCCAGAAGAAUUCUGCCCUGGAAGAUAAGCUUGUAAAGCAAUAAAUAACUUCACUGUUUGCUUCAAGAAACUCCUGCAAAUAAUUUAACCAGACAGUUUGCUCAUCUGAGUAGCCAUCUCUCUUAACAGGAAAUCAGACGGUUCACCUGGGCAAUAAUAGCUCUUGUAUAAGACAACAGUUUCCUUAUGAAGGCUUCCUUAGGACUUUGUCUCACUGUGUCCACUGACCCCAAACUACUAUGUCAUUGAUCUGCUCAACUCCAAUCAGUUUCCCACUUGAAAGAUCUGCAAUAAGCGCUUAAGCCCAGAUCCCCAGGCUCUAUGAACACCCUCCCCUGACCUCUCUUUCCUGUGACACCUCCAUGACUGUCCACACGAUGGUGUCACUUCCUGCACUAGAUCUAAUCAGCGCUGCUCUGCAAUAGAUUUUCUGUGGUCAUUUGGGAGGUUUGAGACAGAGGACAAGGUAGAACAUGCAGUAACAAAAGAUGAAAAACACUUCUCAUUUUUCUUAUUUGUAUGUCAUUACAAUGUCAAAACAACUUAAAUAUUUUGAAUUGUGUGUAUAUUCUUG